rnacentral:rRNA from 1 species
GAUGAACGCUGGCGGCGUGCCUAAUACAUGCAAGUCGAGCGAACGGACGAGAAGCUUGCUUCUCUGAUGUUAGCGGCGGACGGGUGAGUAACACGUGGAUAACCUACCUAUAAGACUGGGAUAACUUCGGGAAACCGGGCUAAUACCGGAUAAUAUUUUGAACCGCAUGGUUCAAAAGUGAAAGACGGUCUUGCUGUCACUUAUAGAUGGAUCCGCGCUGCAUUAGCUAGUUGGUAAGGUAACGGCUUACCAAGGCAACGAUGCAUAGCCGACCUGAGAGGGUGAUCGGCCACACUGGAACUGAGACACGGUCCAGACUCCUACGGGAGGCAGCAGUAGGGAAUCUUCCGCAAAGGGCGAAAGCCUGACGGAGCAACGCCGCGUGAGUGAUGAAGGUCUUCGGAUCGUAAAACUCUGUUAUUAGGGAAGAACAUAUGUGUAAGUAACUGUGCACAUCUUGACGGUACCUAAUCAGAAAGCCACGGCUAACUACGUG